rnacentral:misc_RNA from 1 species
AAUUCUCAACCACAUCUUCUUUGAUUGUGGCUUGGAUAGUGGGGGUUAUAUUUGCAGGCUUUUUGAAAAAGAAGUCUGCUCCCCUGAAAUGAAUUAGUGGUUUAGGAACUACUACAGGUGUGAUAAUCUAUCUAUGCCUUGGUAAUACUGCUGCACUGCUUCCAAUCAAUGACUUGACCA